GCUGUAACAGGGCAAUUCAUGCCAACCUCCUUGGCAGAUACCAUGGCCAAAUUCAAGUCCUUAGCCAUAAGUUUAGACGAAAAUCCACCAUUAUAAUUCCUUGAAGAAGCCACAUCUUCCAUUAAUCCAGGAACUGGAUUGUAACUAUCACUGCUCCAACACCGUGCAGUCGACGAGUCGAAUAUACUUUUUAAUGUUCUAGCUGUGAUCCCUAAAGAUUGUCCGAGAGCAAAGGCUUCGGAAACUCCAAGCAUGCUUACAGCCAUU
rnacentral:misc_RNA from 1 species